GCUCUCGUAGCGCAAUUGGCAGAGGCGUCCCCCCUAAAAGGGGAUUAGUGAGGGUUCGAAUCCCUCCGAGAGCA
rnacentral:tRNA from 1 species